CCUACGGGGGGCAGCAGUGAGGAAUAUUGGUCAAUGGGCUUACGCCUGAACCAGCCAAGUCGCGUGUGGGAAGACUGCCCUAUGGGUUGUAAACCUCUUUUGUCAGGGAGCAACGCCGGCUACGUGUAGCCGGACUGAGAGUACCUGAAGAAAAAGCAUCGGCUAACUCCGUGCCAGCAGCCGCGGUAAUACGGAGGAUGCGAGCGUUAUCCGGAUUUACUGGGUGUAAAGGGAGCGCAGGCGGCGCGUUAAGCCUGGUGUGAAAGCCCGCGGCCCAACCGCGGGACUGCAUUGGGAACUGGCGC
rnacentral:rRNA from 1 species